rnacentral:tRNA from 1 species
GAAGGUAGAGCUCAGUGGUAGAGUGCAUGCUUAGCAUGCAUGAGGUCCUGGGUUCAAUCCUCAGUACCUCUG